rnacentral:rRNA from 1 species
GUCUUUUUGUAAUUAAAUUUAAAGUCUAAUCUGCCCACUGAUAAUUAUUUAAUGGCCGCAGUAUUUUAACUGUGCAAAGGUAGCAUAAUCAUUAGUCUUUUAAUUGGAGGCUUGUAUGAAUGAUUGAACGAGAUAUAAACUGUCUCAUAAAAAUUUUUAAUAGAAUUUAAUUUUUUAGUUAAAAAGCUAAAAUAUUUUUAAAAGACGAGAAGACCCUAUAGAUCUUUAUAAAAUAAUUUAUUCUUUUUUUUUAGAUUUAUUAAAUAUUAAUAAAUUAUUUUAUUUUGUUGGGGUGACAUUGAAAUUUAUAAAACUUUCAAAUUUUAAAUUCAUUAUUUUAUGUAUUAAUGAUCUUUUAUUAUUGAUUAAAAAUUUAAGUUACCUUAGGGAUAACAGCGUAAUUAUUUUGGUGAGUUCUUAUCGAUAAAAUAGAUUGCGACCUCGAUGUUGGAUUAAGAUAAAUUUUAGGUGUAGAAGCUUAAAGUAUUAAGUCUGUUCGACUUUUAAUUUCUU